CAUUUGUCUACGGGUGCCCCUAGUAUUGUCCAAAAAAGUUUUGGUUAAUUAUGUCGCUAUGCUAAUGGAAAUUGUGAAAUAAAAAAGAUAGCUGACAUAGUGUGGUUAUUAUCCAUUCAUCUGAUGUGCGAAAGCAGAUGUGAAGGAUUGCCAAGGAUUUCAACUAUGUGAACAUCAGCAUUGUAAUUAAUUAAGCACCUUAAAUUUUCCUUUCCUAUUGUAUAAUUGUCUUCCCUAACCUCGACCAAACCGCGAGUCUUCCGGUUCCCUAAAACUAACAUUACUGUAAAAGAAUAAUGAAAAACUGUAUUCAAAAACAUGAUGCAGGCUCCGUAAUGCUUUACGGAAAAUAAGCCUUCCAAAUAAAUGUUAAUUGAAAAAAAAA